rnacentral:piRNA from 1 species
AUGAAUGUGUAGCUACAGGAAGGCCU